rnacentral:rRNA from 1 species
UUGACCUCAAAUCAGGUAGGACUACCCGCUGAACUUAAGCAUAUCAAUAAGCGGAGGAAAAGAAACUAACAAGGAUUCCCCUAGUAACUGCGAGUGAAGUGGGAAAAGCUCAAAUUUAAAAUCUGACAGUCUUUGACUGUCUGAGUUGUAACCUA